GUCCACGCCGUAAACGAUGGUCACUAGCUGUUCGGACUUCGGUCUGAGUGGCUAAGCGAAAGUGAUAAGUGACCCACCUGGGGAGUACGUUCGCAAGAAUGAAACUCAAAGGAAUUGACGGGGGCCCGCACAAGCGGUGGAGCAUGUGGUUUAAUUCGAUGAUACGCGAGGAACCUUACCAGGGCUUAAAUGUAGAUUGCAUUAGCUGGAGACAGCUAUUUCUUCGGACUAUCUACAAGGUGC
rnacentral:rRNA from 1 species